rnacentral:rRNA from 1 species
GACGAACGCUGGCGGCGUGCUUAACACAUGCAAGUCGAACGGUAAGGCCCUUCGGGGUACACGAGUGGCGAACGGGUGAGUAACACGUGGGUGAUCUGCCCUGCACUUCGGGAUAAGCCUGGGAAACUGGGUCUAAUACCGGAUAGGACCACUGCCUGCAUGGGUGGUGGUGGAAAGCUUUUGCGGUGUGGGAUGGGCCCGCGGCCUAUCAGCUUGUUGGUGGGGUGAUGGCCUACCAAGGCGACGACGGGUAGCCGGCCUGAGAGGGUGACCGGCCACACUGGGACUGAGAUACGGCCCAGACUCCUACGGGAGGCAGCGGUGGGGAAUAUUGCACAAUGGGCGCAAGCCUGAUGCAGCGACGCCGCGUGAGGGAUGACGGCCUUCGGGUUGUAAACCUCUUUCAGCACCGACGAAGCGCAAGUGACGGUAGGUGCAGAAGAAGGACCAGCCAACUACGUGCCAGCCGCCGCGGUAAGAC